UACAGAGGUCCCGAGCGUUACUGAGAUUCACUGGGUUUAAAGGGUGCGCAGGUGGCGCGUUAAGUCAGUUGUGAAAUCCCCGGGCUCAACCCGGGAAUAGCUUCUGAUACUGGCGUGCUUGAGGCCGGUAAGGGCUACUGGAACGGACGGUGGAGCGGUGAAAUGCGUAGAUAUCGUCUGGAACGCCGGUGGUGAAGACGGGUAGCUGGGCCGGAUCUGACACUGAGGCACGAAAGCGUGGGGAUCAAACGGG
rnacentral:rRNA from 1 species